UUUGGAACCAGGCCUCGACCCAACCCAACCCAUGGAUAACUUUAGUUGUUGGUCGCCUCGCUUUUUUGGGUGCCAUCCAAAGAUUUUUGGUUACAAAAAUGCCUAGUUUGUUUCUGGCUCAUAUGAAUUUUUCUAGUUUUACAGAAUUAAAAUUAAAAUUACUACGUGCAGAUGAUAGUUCACCAUCUAAUUACAAACC
rnacentral:lncRNA from 1 species